rnacentral:rRNA from 1 species
GUGAGGAAUAUUGGACAAUGGGCGCAAGCCUGAUCCAGCCAUGCCGCGUGCAGGAAGACGCAUCUAUGGUGUGUAAACUGCUUUUGUACGGGAAGAAACACUCCCUCGUGAGGGAGCUUGACGGUACCGUAAGAAUAAGGAUCGGCUAACUCCGUGCCAGCAGCCGCGGUAAUACGGAGGAUCCAAGCGUUAUCCGGAAUCAUUGGGUUUAAAGGGUCCGUAGGCGGAUUAAUAAGUCAGUGGUGAAAGCCCAUCGCUCAACGAUGGAACGGCCAUUGAUACUGUUAGACUUGAAUUACAAGGAAGUAACUAGAAUAUGUAGUGUAGCGGUGAAAUGCUUAGAUAUUACAUGGAAUACCAAUUGCGAAGGCAGGUUACUACUUGUGGAUUGACGCUGAUGGACGAAAACGUGGGGAGCGAACAGGAUUAGAUACCCUAGUAGUCC